rnacentral:rRNA from 1 species
CGGGCCUAACACAUGCAAGUCGAACGAGAAAAUCCCUUCGGGGGUGAGUACAGUGGCGCACGGGUGAGGACGCGUAGGUAAUCUACCCUCUGGCGGGGGACAAACUGAGAAAGGAAUGCUAAUACCGCAUAUGACCACGCUCACUACGGUGAAAGUGGUAAAAGGCGCCUCAAAGCGCCACCAGAGGAUGAGCCUGCGUCCCAUCAGCUUGUUGGUAAGGUAACGGCUUACCAAGGCUAAGACGGGUAGCUGGUCUGAGAGGAUGAUCAGCCACACUGGCACUGGAACACGGGCCAGACUCCUACGGGAGGCAGCAGUGAGGAAUAUUGGGCAAUGGGCGAAAGCCUGACCCAGCCACGCCGCGUGUGUGAUGAAGGCCUUCGGGUCGUAAAGCACUGUGGGGAGAGACGAAACAGCGCAUCAGGAAAUGGUUGCGCCUUGACGGUACCUCCUUAGCAAGCACCGGCUAACUCUGUGCCAGCAGCCGCGGUAAUACAGAGGGUGCAAACGUUGCUCGGAUUUACUGGGCGUAAAGCGCGUGUAGGCGGACUCGCAAGUCGGUUGUGAAAUCCCUGGGCUCAACCUAGGAACUGCAUCCGAAACUGCUUGUCUUGAGUAAUGGAGAGGGUGGCGGAAUUCCCGGUGUAGAGGUGAAAUUCGUAGAUAUCGGGAGGAACAUCAGUGGCGAAGGCGGCCACCUGGACAUUUACUGACGCUGAGACGCGAAAGCGUGGGGGAGCAAACAGGAUUAGAUACCCUGGUAGUCCACGCCGUAAACGAUGAGUGCUGGGUGUCUCGGGUAUUUGACCCCUGAGGCGCCGAAGUUAACGCGAUACGCACUCCGCCUGGGGGAGUACGGCCGCAAGGCUAAAAACUCAAAGGAAUUGACGGGGGCCCGCACAAGCGGUG